GACGAGGGAUCCUAGCGUUGUUCGGAAUCAUUGGGCGUAAAGCGUGUGUAGGCGGCCUUAUAAGUCAGUUGUGAAAGCCCCGGGCUCAACCCGGGAAGUGCUUCUGAUACUGUUAGGCUUGAGUACUGGAGAGGUGAGUAGAAUUCCAGGUGUAGUGGUGAAAUACGUAGAUAUCUGGAGGAAUACCGGUGGCGAAGGCGGCUCACUGGCCAUGUACUGACGCUGAGACACGAAAGCGUGGGGAGCAAACAGG
rnacentral:rRNA from 1 species